UUGGAGGGCAAGUCUGGUGCCAGCAGCCGCGGUAAUUCCAGCUCCAAUAGCGUAUAUUAAAGUUGUUGCAGUUAAAAAGCUCGUAGUUGAAUUUCGGGGUCAGUAGGUUGGUCGUGCCACUGGUAUGCACUGGUCUCACUGAUUCCUCCUUCCUGAUGAACCGUAAUGCCAUUAAUUUGGUGUUGCGGGGAAUCUGGACUGUUACUUUGAAAAAAUUAGAGUGUUUAAAGCAGGCUAACGCUUGAAUACAUUAGCAUGGAAUAAUGAAAUAGGACGAUCGAUCCUAUUUUGUUGGUUUCUAGGAUUGACGUAAUGAUUAAUAGGGAUAGUUGGGGGCAUUAGUAUUCAAUUGUCAGAGGUGAAAUUCUUGGAUUUAUUGAAGACUAGCUACUGCGAAAGCAUUUGCCAAGGAUGUUUUCAUUAAUCAAGAACGAAAGUUAGGGGAUCGAAGACGAUCAGAUACCGUCGUAGUCUUAACCAUAAACUAUGCCGACUAGGGAUCGGAUGAUGUUAAUUUUUUAAUGACUCAUUCGGCGCCUUACGGGAAA
rnacentral:rRNA from 1 species